AACUUUUGUCAUUUAAACUUUACUAUGUUGAUCAUUACCUAAUAGUGUAAAAAAAAAAUUAGUACGUCGCAAUCAAGGAUCAGUGUCAAGUAAUGUGUUUUGCAUACUUAUGUAUUUUUUGGGUGUUCUGUGUAUUAAAACUGAAACAUAUCAUCUUUAUAUAAUAAUACGGAACUCAAUAGUAGUAGUUCCCUUUCGAGCACGUUUGACACAAAACCCAACGCAGCCAUUGCAACCGAGGUACUGGCGAGGAAGAGUCGCAGCACCUUUUUAUAAGAAAACAUUAACGAAAGUGUGUGCUAAUAACUAACUUACGUAAACUUCAAAAUGUGAAAUGUCAAAACAUACUAAAACAUGUAUCAA